CUCUUGACGAGACGCACCUGUUAACUGAAAACCAUCCAGGUGAGCAGCUCAUGAAUCUCACUGAGAGAAUAACAGAAGUGUGUUAAACUGUCAUCAAGCAAGAGGUGGAUACUGUGAAGAAUCUGAAAUAUAAAACAUUCUGACACAAAUGCCUGACCCGAAGACCUUUAAGCAGCAUUUUGAAAGCAAACAUCCAAAGUCUUCAAUGCCCCCAGAGUUGGUCGAUGUGGAGGCCUAAUGGAACAAUGCUUAAUUUAGUUAUUGAUGUAUGAGCGUUGUUUGUUUUUUCCAAAAUUGUAUUUUUAGCUAUCCUCACUUGCUCAUGCUGAAGUAGUAGACACACAGCAGACACUAUUUUGGCUAUUUGUUUUAUCUUUGACUGUAUGCAGUAUUUCAGAUAAGCAGUUAAGGAUAAUUAAUUAAUUAAUGUAUGCAGUAUUUCUAUUUGAUAAUUUCAAAAUGUUAUGCUCAAAACACCAUCUUGUCCAUGGGCCCUACCACUAUUACACCAUCUCAGGUCUCCCACUGUUUCAGGACAGACUUGGAAUAUAGAGGGAAAUGUUUUAAAAAAACAACAACUUUCAGUCAAAAAACUGAAAGUUAUUUUUAAUGUGCCAGGGUUGGGCUCACAAUUAUAGCUUGUUCAGAAUGACUGGAGUUUAUAGUGUGAUUGGAAAGACACUAAUUCAAAACACAGAUUUACUUCUGAUCUGCACUGAUUAUUAUUUAAUGUCAAGACUGUGGUCUAUAGUGUAUGUUGAUAUGAAGUAUAUAUUAAACAUAAUGUGCUACACGGGUACUGAAAUUGUGCAUUGCAUCUACUUUAGGGUUUUAAUGACGUUUCUAGUUCAUGUCUACUGUGUAACUUUCUCAUGUGCAUGUGAGUCAUAAAAGUGGACCAGAGAGGGCACUGUGAGUCUACUCACAGCAAACCCUUCAAUGGCACAAUUAGCAGUGGUAUAACUGCAUAAAACAUUUUUAUUUUUUUUAUCAAGUUAGAAGGUGUCUGUUGAGUGAAUUGGCAUGAAAAUGUGGUUUGCACUGGGUGUUGGAAAUGAUAACAUUAACAAUCUACUCACAGUUUAUUAGUGUAACAUGUAUGUGGCACAAUUGUGUGCACUACUGUAGUAUUUUAUAGUCUCACACUGUGUACUGCAUAUGUUAAAACAAUCCCAAGUGCAGUCUCACACUCUUACAUGUUGUCAUGGUAGUGCAGAAGUAUUUCAACUCUUAACCUACAGUUAAUGUCUACACUGUAUGUUAGUUUAGGUUCUUAUUUUUAUUGGUGUAUUUUCCUAGCAUGCUAACAGACAGUUACUUUAUAUAAAGGAAUUAUUUUGAAUACUCUUGGACAGACUGGUCAUUAACCACUAUUGUUGUAUCGCUGUACUAAAGUCCAGACUGACAGACAGCCAUGUUUUUUACUUUUGUAAUAAUAAUUUCUUUGUUUCAAAAUGUUAUAAGCUUUUUAAUAAAGGUGUUACUUUUG